CAAAAACAUCCAAAAUCAUUUGAUGUCCAUGGUCGAGUCAUAUUAAACACCGAGUUCCUGCGUGCCGUUACCAUAGAGUAUCAAUCGCUCGAACUUACGGUAACGAGUACACGGUGCCAGAAUAUAUGCUCGAGUGGGUGAUAGGACUGUCACCGAGUGUCGAGGGAAAAUCAUGGGAGGGUUGUACACAUAUGUAUAUUCCAGCGUGCAUCAAUAAACACUAUGUUACGCUGGAGAUCGUUUUUGCUGACUCGAUUGUGCAUUAUCUAUCGACCAAUAAACCAUGCUCGAGCUUGCUUGCGAUCGUUUCGAAGAAUUCCCACUUCGCAAGUAUGUUCCCGUGAAUACUUGCGAAUUAUGAAGCGCUCAUUCGUGUCCAUCUUAGUUGCUCUCAAGCGCCAAUUGCAACUGUUUUCGACGCAGGCAACUGUCAACAAUGACUUGUUUGAUUUCUUUACCUUGAACUCAAAGUUAUAUUUUAAUGCCAGCCGGUGCACAGCGGCCUGCAAAUAUUUCUUGGUUUCAAACAGUUGUUUGACAUGCAAGUCCUCAUCAUCGGGAGCCACACGGGAAGAAUUGGAGGACGGUCCACUUGUUCCAACCUGUGAGCUCCCACCUAGCUCAUGUCUUUGUCGGGAUAAAGCAAUCAAAUUCUCAUUUGUAAACUCAUUUAUAUUCUCGUUGUCUUCAACUGUCGACGGAAUUCUAUGCGUAAUAGCGACAUCACGAUUAGGAGCAACUAUCUCUGGAAUAACCACAUCAUUCGCAGGAACUAUCUCCACUGUCUCCCAAAAACCUCGGUCAUUAUUAUCCGCCCUAUUUGAAUCUUCGCGUUCACCUUCGAUAACAUCCUUUUUAACUAAAGUCACACCAAGAGUAGUCGGAGUCCGAUGUGUUUUAUUCAAUUCUAAUAGAUAAUUCAAUUCAGCAUCAUUAGUAACAACUACCGGUGGAAUCGGAAUGGACGAAUCCCUAUAACCGUUGAAUAGAUAUCUCAAUUGUAUGUCGUAUUGAGAUUGAUCG
rnacentral:lncRNA from 1 species